rnacentral:sRNA from 1 species
GGAGGCUCGGGUUCGAUUCCCGGUAUGG